UACGUAGGGUGCGAGCGUUAAUCGGAAUUACUGGGCGUAAAGCGUGCGUAGGCGGUUCUCCAAGUCCGUUGUGAAAGCCCCGGGCUCAACCUGGGAAUGGCAGUGGAAACUAGGGGACUGGAAUCUGGCAGAGGGGGUGGAAUGCCGCGUGUAGCAGUGAAAUGCGUAGAGAUGCGGCGGAACACCGAUGGCGAAGGCAGCCCCCUGGGCUGAGAUUGACGCUCAGGCACGAAAGCGUGGGAGCAAACAGG
rnacentral:rRNA from 1 species